rnacentral:rRNA from 1 species
GACGAACGCUGGCGGCGUGCUUAACACAUGCAAGUCGAACGGAAAGGCCCUGCUUUUGUGGGGUGCUCGAGUGGCGAACGGGUGAGUAACACGUGAGUAACCUGCCCUUGACUUUGGGAUAACUUCAGGAAACUGGGGCUAAUACCGGAUAGGAGCUCCUGCUGCAUGGUGGGGGUUGGAAAGUUUCGGCGGUUGGGGAUGGACUCGCGGCUUAUCAGCUUGUUGGUGGGGUAGUGGCUUACCAAGGCUUUGACGGGUAGCCGGCCUGAGAGGGUGACCGGCCACAUUGGGACUGAGAUACGGCCCAGACUCCUACGGGAGGCAGCAGUGGGGAAUAUUGCACAAUGGGCGGAAGCCUGAUGCAGCAACGCCGCGUGCGGGAUGACGGCCUUCGGGUUGUAAACCGCUUUCGCCUGUGACGAAGCGUGAGUGACGGUAAUGGGUAAAGAAGCACCGGCUAACUACGUGCCAGCAGCCGCGGUGAUACGUAGGGUGCGAGCGUUGUCCGGAUUUAUUGGGCGUAAAGGGCUCGUAGGUGGUUGAUCGCGUCGGAAGUGUAAUCUUGGGGCUUAACCCUGAGCGUGCUUUCGAUACGGGUUGACUUGAGGAAGGUAGGGGAGAAUGGAAUUCCUGGUGGAGCGGUGGAAUGCGCAGAUAUCAGGAGGAACACCAGUGGCGAAGGCGGUUCUCUGGGCCUUUCCUGACGCUGAGGAGCGAAAGCGUGGGGAGCGAACAGGCUUAGAUACCCUGGUAGUCCACGCUGUAAACGGUGGGUACUAGGUGUGGGGUCCAUUCCACGGGUUCCGUGCCGUAGCUAACGCUUUAAGUACCCCGCCUGGGGAGUACGGCCGCAAGGCUAAAACUCAAAGGAAUUGACGGGGCCCCGCACAAGCGGCGGAGCAUGCGGAUUAAUUCGAUGCAACGCGUAGAACCUUACCUGGGUUUGACAUGGAUCGGGAGCGCUCAGAGAUGGGUGUGCCUCUUUUGGGGUCGGUUCACAGGUGGUGCGUGGCUGUCGUCAGCUCGUGUCGUGAGAUGUUGGGUUAAGUCCCGCAACGAGCGCAACCCUUGUUCACUGUUGCCAGCACGUUAUGGUGGGGACUCAGUGGAGACCGCCGGGGUCAACUCGGAGGAAGGUGGGGAUGACGUCAAGUCAUCAUGCCCCUUAUGUCCAGGGCUUCACGCAUGCUACAAUGGCUGGUACAGAGAGUGGCGAGCCUGUGAGGGUGAGCGAAUCUCGGAAAGCCGGUCUCAGUUCGGAUUGGGGUCUGCAACUCGACCUCAUGAAGUCGGAGUCGCUAGUAAUCGCAGAUCAGCAACGCUGCGGUGAAUACGUUCCCGGG